UAAAUCCUGCGAUGUACGUUUCGGUUUUAAGUUGUUUUGAACCAAUGACUGUUUCUAGGGAGAUCAAUAAGACAACGUGGCUGACAUGCCCUCGAAAAGGGACUUCAAAAGCGCUGCUGCGAUCACCCACCUGCGAGAGCGGGUUUGAAACGCCAAAAUCGGACGGCAUAUGCGGGUUUUUU
rnacentral:other from 1 species